rnacentral:rRNA from 1 species
UACGUAGGGGGCGAGCGUUGUCCGGAGUUACUGGGCGUAAAGCGCACGCAGGCGGUCUGUUAAGUUUGGAGUGACAGUUGGUGGCUUAACUGCCAAAGUGCUUCGAAAACUGACAGACUUGAGGGCUUCAGAGGGACACGGAAUUCCGGGUGGAGUGGUGAAAUGCGUAGAGAUCCGGAGGAACACCAAAGGCGAAGGCAGUGUCCUGGGGAGUACCUGACGCUAAGGUGCGAAAGCCAGGGGAGCGAUCGGG